rnacentral:lncRNA from 10 species
CUUACAAACAAGGGAGUUUUCAAACAAUGUUCUCUCAAGUUCAAAGAGUUCUAGCAGCUGACGUGAUAAGAGAAAAAUGUCACCAAGAUGUUGGGACAAGAACAGAGUCUGGAAGGAUUGAGAGGACUUAAGCAAAAUUAGAGGUAGAUGGGGUUUCAGGUAAAGGUGUUGGCUAGAGCCAAAGAAUAGAGGUGGGACUGUGCACUGGCAGUCUUUUGAUUACAAGUAACAGGGGUGCCAGGUAACCUCAGGAAGGACUGGAACCAAGAAUUGCAGAGCCAUCAGAAUCCAGGGAUAAUCAAUGUCUGCUGAUAUGAAGGAGCAGGGUUUGGCCAUGAAAAAAAAAGUCUUUAUUCAGAGGAUACAAAGAUUCCCAAAAGAAUGAUGACUCUCUGAGAAGAUGUGCCAGAAUUUCUGGUGGAGGAGAGGAGAAGCGAGAUUUUUUGUUGUUGUUGUUGAGAUGGAGACUUGCUUUGUCACCCAGGCUGGAGUGCAUUGUCACGAUCUCAGCUCACUGCAACCUCUGCCUCCCAGGUUCAAGCGAUUCUCCUGCCUUAGCCUCCCGAGUAGCUGGGAUCACAGGCGUGCGCCACCACACCCGGCUAAUUUUUGUAUUUUUAGUAGAGACGGGGUUUCACCAUGUUGGCCAGGCCAGUCUGGAACUCCUGACCUCAGGUGAUCCACCUGCCUUGGCCUCCCAAAGUGCUGGGAUUACAGGCGUGAGAAACUGCGCCUGGCCGAGAAGUGAGAUUUUUAUGUUUAUCGAAAAGAGUCUUGGGUUAAAAAAGAAAAGCUUGAGAAAUACAGUUUUAAAGCCAGAAGACUCCAGCUCUAUUCUCUGUUUUUCACUUGUUAUGUGACCCUGGUCAAGUAUCUGCCUUUUCAAUAGGCCUGUUUCCUCAUCUAAAAAAAUCAGGGUUAAUAUUGAGUGAGUUAAGACUCAUGGACUCUAAUUUAUUAAAAUAUUUCUUAUAGCAACUCAUAAUGCUGGGAGGUAAAAUCAAG